UGUGGCUGUGGCUCAGUGCUAGAGCACUCAUCUCACAUGUGUGAGGCCCUGGGUUCGAUCUUCAGCACCAUAA
rnacentral:tRNA from 1 species